GUCUUCAUGGUGUAAUGGUCAGCACAUUCAGUGCGUAUUCAAGAGGUCUGAGGUUCGAGUCCCGGUGAGGGCA
rnacentral:tRNA from 1 species